UCACUACUUGCGUAGGCAGUCUGGCUAGAGUCCCCACCAUUACGUGCUGGCAACAUGGGAUAGGGGUUGCGCUCGUUGCGCCACUUAAGGCAACACCUCACGGCACGAGCUGACGACAGCCAUGCAGCACCUGUGCGGGCCCCCGAAGGGGCACUGUGUUUCCACGGCGUCACCCCGCAUGUCAAGCCCUGGUAAGGUUCUUCGCGUUGCGUCGAAUUGAGCCACAUGCUCCGCCGCUUGUGCGGGUCCCCGUCAAUUCCUUUGAGUUUUAGCCUUGCGGCCGUACUCCCCAGGCGGCGGACUUAAUGCGUUAGCUUCGGCACGGAGCGCGAUGAAGCGCCCCACACCUAGUCCGCACCGUUUACGGCCAGGACUAC
rnacentral:misc_RNA from 1 species